rnacentral:ribozyme from 1 species
UUUUAUUAUUUCUCUGUUAAUGGGGUAAGAUCCCAAGACCUGCAUAGGUAUAGACAGGCUCUCCUACUAAAUUCCUAUUUCAUCACAUCCAAGCUUGAGUAAAUGGGCCAGUCCCUACCCCUUGGACGAAUGGUGGAGCAUGGCUGAACAGGAAGGG